AAAGAAAGAUUAAUACCCGAUGGCAUAGUUCUUCCGCAUGGUAGAACUAUUAAAGAAUUUCGGUCAUCGAUGGGGAUGCGUUCCAUUAGGUUGUUGGCGGGGUAACGGCCCACCAAGCCUUCGAUGGAUAGGGGUUCUGAGAGGAAGGUCCCCCACAUUGGAACUGAGACACGGUCCAAACUCCUACGGGAGGCAGCAGUGAGGAAUAUUGGUCAAUGGACGAGAGUCUGAACCAGCCAAGUAGCGUGAAGGAUGACUGCCCUAUGGGUUGUAAACUUCUUUUAUACGGGAAUAAAGUGAGGCACGUGUGCCUUUUUGUAUGUACCGUAUGAAUAAGGAUCGGCUAACUCCGUGCCAGCAGCCGCGGUAAUACGGAGGAUCCGAGCGUUAUCCGGAUUUAUUGGGUUUAAAGGGAGCGUAGGCGGACGCUUAAGUCAGUUGUGAAAGUUUGCGGCUCAACCGUAAAAUUGC
rnacentral:rRNA from 1 species